CACUAGCUAUAAUAUCAGAGGAGUAUCAAAUGUAAUAUAGGAGUCUCACAGGUAAACAGCUAUAAUAUCAGAGGAGUAUCACAGGUGAACAGCUAUGAUAUCAGAGAAGUAUCACAGGUGAACAGCUAUGAUAGAGAAGAAGUACCACAGGUGAACAGCUAUGAUAUCAGAGGAGUAUCACAGGUGAACAGCUAUGAUAUCAGAGGAGUAUAACAGGUGAACAGCUAUGAUAUCAGAGGAGUAUCACAGUUGAACAGCUAUGAUAGAGAAGUAUCACAGGUGAACCACUAUGAUAGAGGAGGAGUAUCACAGGUAAACAGCUAUGAUAUCAGAGGUGUACUAGAGGUGAACCGCUAAGAUAUCAGAGGAGUAUCACAGGUGAACCGCUAUGAUAUCA